rnacentral:rRNA from 1 species
AACGUAGGAGGCGAGCGUUAUCCGGAUUUACUGGGCGUAAAGCGCGUGCAGGCGGUUCGGCAAGUUGGGUGUGAAAUCUCCCGGCUCAACUGGGAGGAGUCGCUCAAUACUACCGGACUUGAGGGCAGUAGAGGAAGGUGGAAUUCCCGGUGUAGUGGUGAAAUGCGUAGAUAUCGGGAGGAACACCAGUGGCGAAAGCGGCCUUCUGGACUGUACCUGACGCUCAUACGCGAAAGCUAGGGGAGCGAAC